AACAGCGAURCGAUGUGAUGUAUGCUCACUCUCUCCCUUGUGAUCUUCUUUAGUGUCACAACAGAGACAGCAAGGAGAAGUUUCUUUACCUAAUGGCUCUAGAAUCGUUUUGGGGUUAUUUCAAAAGAAAUUCUCCAGAAGAAAGAUGUCUGUGUGAAUCUUUGGCCAUACUACCAAAAAUCCGCAUUAUUUUUAAAGUCAGAUUUCUGUGAAGACACAGACAGGCCAAAAAUAUGAAAUGGACCAGAGAAGAAAUCAAAGCACCAGCCAACACACUGUGUUUUGUUGGCCAACGUUAAAUAGCCUACAGGAGGGGCAUAACCAUUUCCUCAUUGACACAUGGGAUCAAAAUGGAAGUCAAACAACGUAUGGCCUAAUCAAUACUGGUAUCAGUAACUGAACAUCUGCAACUAACCAGAGCAAAGGGAAGGACAGAGUAAGUUAAUUCAUGGCAGAGGCUAAAUUAGCAAAGCUGUGUUCACAGAACCAAGCAGCCUGAAAAUUCGCAGCUGCCAGAAAACUUCCUGCUGCCAGAGGGAAAGGACAGUCAUUUGGACAAUCAAUUUC
rnacentral:lncRNA from 1 species